rnacentral:rRNA from 1 species
UACGUAGGGUGCGAGCGUUGUCCGGAAUUAUUGGGCGUAAAGAGCUCGUAGGCGGUUUGUCGCGUCGUUUGUGAAAACUUACAACUCAAUUGUGGGCGUGCGGGCGAUACGGGCAGACUGGAGUACUGCAGGGGAGACUGGAAUUCCUGGUGUAGCGGUGGAAUGCGCAGAUAUCAGGAGGAACACCGGUGGCGAAGGCGGGUCUCUGGGCAGUAACUGACGCUGAGGAGCGAAAGCGUGGGGAGCGAACAGG